rnacentral:lncRNA from 1 species
AGAAAGGGGAAAGGAGGUUGAGAAAGCAAAAUCUACAAGUUGCUCCAACAGAAAUUUGAAUGACAAAAGAAAAUUCUAGCAAGAAGGAGGAUCCAAACAUAAAAGGUUACAAGUCCACGGUACAGUCAUUAGUAAUAAAUGGUGAAAAGAGGAGUCGAUAAAGGUUACAGGGAAACAAGAACUUCAACACCCAAAAGCACAGAGCGAUAUAGAUUAAGCUUACAUGUAGUAAUAGCCAGUCAACGUAUUAUUCUUUGAAAAGGUCAGGUGUGCCAAGGAGAUUAUAGAUAUGUCAGGGUGCAAAGCUAUACCAGAUGUCUCUAACUCAAUUAGCUACCGAGUCGUUUCUUGUUGGUCAUGGGGACUUUGGAAGGUUCUUUGUUAUGGGCUGCUGCACCUCUCAUGAUGUCUAAGUCUCCUCAUCCAGUCCAGUGGUUUAAAUAUACCUUCUACAUGGAACUCAUCCAAAUGUAUGUCCCUAGUUUUGAUCUCUCCUCUGAUCUCUGGCAUAAGAUGGCUUUGCCAUUCUCAGUCCCUUCUUUGCAACGUCUAAAGAAUGCCAACAACUUACAUGCCCAAAAGAGAACUGUCACCCCACAGCAUGAUUCGGGGCCUGUUUUCUAAUAAAAGUUAAAAUGUGUUAACUCUUUUUUGCAUGUACAAUGUAUGCAUUGAUUUCCUUAAAUUUACUGUAAUGUCUUUGACUAAAAUAAAAU